rnacentral:rRNA from 1 species
GGGUUGUGAGGUUAAGCGACUAAGCGUACACGGUGGAUGCCCUGGCAGUCAGAGGCGAUGAAGGACGUGCUAAUCUGCGAUAAGCGUCGGUAAGGUGAUAUGAACCGUUAUAACCGGCGAUUUCCGAAUGGGGAAACCCAGUGUGUUUCGACACACUAUCAUUAACUGAAUCCAUAGGUUAAUGAGGCGAACCGGGGGAACUGAAACAUCUAAGUACCCCGAGGAAAAGAAAUCAACCGAGAUUCCCCCAGUAGCGGCGAGCGAACGGGGAGCAGCCCAGAGCCUGAAUCAGUAUGUGUGUUAGUGGAAGCGUCUGGAAAGGCGCGCGAUACAGGGUGACAGCCCCGUACACAAAAAUGCACAUGCUGUGAGCUCGAUGAGUAGGGCGGGACACGUGGUAUCCUGUCUGAAUAUGGGGGGACCAUCCUCCAAGGCUAAAUACUCCUGACUGACCGAUAGUGAACCAGUACCGUGAGGGAAAGGCGAAAAGAACCCCGGCGAGGGGAGUGAAAAAGAACCUGAAACCGUGUACGUACAAGCAGUGGGAGCACGCUUAGGCGUGUGACUGCGUACCUUUUGUAUAAUGGGUCAGCGACUUAUAUUCUGUAGCAAGGUUAACCGAAUAGGGGAGCCGAAGGGAAACCGAGUCUUAACUGGGCGUUAAGUUGCAGGGUAUAGACCCGAAACCCGGUGAUCUAGCCAUGGGCAGGUUGAAGGUUGGGUAACACUAACUGGAGGACCGAACCGACUAAUGUUGAAAAAUUAGCGGAUGACUUGUGGCUGGGGGUGAAAGGCCAAUCAAACCGGGAGAUAGCUGGUUCUCCCCGAAAGCUAUUUAGGUAGCGCCUCGUGAAUUCAUCUCCGGGGGUAGAGCACUGUUUCGGCAAGGGGGUCAUCCCGACUUACCAACCCGAUGCAAACUGCGAAUACCGGAGAAUGUUAUCACGGGAGACACACGGCGGGUGCUAACGUCCGUCGUGAAGAGGGAAACAACCCAGACCGCCAGCUAAGGUCCCAAAGUCAUGGUUAAGUGGGAAACGAUGUGGGAAGGCCCAGACAGCCAGGAUGUUGGCUUAGAAGCAGCCAUCAUUUAAAGAAAGCGUAAUAGCUCACUGGUCGAGUCGGCCUGCGCGGAAGAUGUAACGGGGCUAAACCAUGCACCGAAGCUGCGGCAGCGACGCUGAUGCGUUGUUGGGUA